GUAGGUGGCAAGCGUUGCCGGAAUUAUUGGGCGUAAAGCGCGCGCAGGCGGUUCUUUAAGUCUGAUGUGAAAGCCCACGGCUCAACCGUGGAGGGUCAUUGGAAACUGGAGAACUUGAGUACAGAAGAGGAAAGCGGAAUUCCACGUGUAGCGGUGAAAUGCGUAGAGAUGUGGAGGAACACCAGUGGCGAAGGCGGCUUUCUGGUCUGUAACUGACGCUGAGGCGCGAAAGCGUGGGGAGCAAACAGGAUUAGAUACCCUGGUAGUCCACGCCGUAAACGAUGAGUGCUAAGUGUUAGGGGGGUUUCCGCCCCCCUUAGUGCUGCAGCUAACGCAUUAAGCACUCCGCCUGGGAGUACGGCCGCAAGGCUG
rnacentral:rRNA from 1 species